rnacentral:rRNA from 1 species
AUUGAACGCUGGCGGCAUGCCUUACACAUGCAAGUCGAACGGCAGCACGGGAGCAAUCCUGGUGGCGAGUGGCGAACGGGUGAGUAAUAUAUCGGAACGUGCCCAGUCGUGGGGGGAUAACGUAGCGAAAGCUACGCUAAUACCGCAUACGAUCUAUGGAUGAAANCGGGGGAUCGCAAGACCUCGCGCGAUUGGAGCGGCCGAUAUCAGAUUAGGUAGUUGGUGAGGUAAAGGCUCACCAAGCCGACGAUCUGUAGCUGGUCUGAGAGGACGACCAGCCACACUGGGACUGAGACACGGCCCAGACUCCUACGGGAGGCAGCAGUGGGGAAUUUUGGACAAUGGACGCAAGUCUGAUCCAGCCACUCCGCGUGCAGGAUGAAGGCCCUCGGGUUGUAAACUGCUUUGUACGGAACGAAAAGGUUUCUAUUAAUACUAGGAGCUCAUGACGGUACCGUAAGAAUAAGCACCGGCUAACUACGUG